rnacentral:rRNA from 1 species
GUGGUGGUGGUGGUGGUGGUGUGCCGCCGCCGCCGCCGCCGAAACUACUUUUUGCUGCUGUUGCGUUGCUACAAUCUUGGUGUUUUUGUUCUGUGCAGUUGUCGUAUGUUUUCGAAAGGGAAUCCGGUUGAUAUUCCGGAACCGAGUAACGGAGACAAAGAGUAGCGCUUUAAUCUCUUUCGGGUUGGCGUUCAACUCAAUCGCGCGGUAACGCAAGCGAACUCGGAAAAUGACCGUCGUGAGUUUCGAAAAGAGUUUUCUUUUCUUUUUAAGGGACGCAUUCCCUGGAACCGGGUUGUCCGGAGAUAGGGAUUCUGGUAUCCAUAAAACGCCGACUCUUUCACGGUGUUCGGAGCGCUCUCGUCGGUACGUGAAAAUCCGAGCGACGCCUGGUAAAUCUCGUACUUGGUCGUACUGAUAUCCGCAGCAGGUCUCCAAGGUGAAUAGCCUCUGGCCGAUAGAAUAAUGUAGGUAAGGGAAGUCGGCAAAACGGAUCCGUAACUUCGGAACAAGGAUUGGCUCUAAGGGCUGGGCCGAUCGGGCUGAGGUUUCAAGCGUGCAGUGUAUGCUUGGCUGAGUUGUGUUGAGGAUUGAUUCGCUUGGUGCCGUUUGUUGAACCAAUCGGCUAUCCAGGUGGUCAUGUCUGAAGCAAAGCUGGCCGACAGACCGGCACGUGCAGAACCUGAGCUGCGCGGCUGUCAGUUCAUUUGUACAGACCGUUUCGGUCGGCAUUCAACAGCCAACUUAGAACUGGCACGGACACAAGGAAUCUGACUGUAUAAUUAAAACAAAGCAUUGCGAUGGCCGAUGAUCGGUGUUGACGCAAUGUGAUUUCUGCCCAGUGCUCUGAAUGUCAAAGUGAAGAAAUUCAAUCAAGCGCGGGUAAACGGCGGUUGUUUGGCCUAGGAUAUCGAUAAUCACACGCACCGCGGAACUGGACCGUAUAAGCCAGAAAUAUUAAAGUAACAAUAGCCAAAUGCCUAGUCAUUUAUUUAGUGACGCGUAUGAAUGGAUCAACAAGAUUCCUUCUGUCCCUAUCUACUAUCUAGCGAAACCACAGCCAAGGGAACGGGCUUGGCAAAAUCAGCGGGGAAAGAAGACCCUGUUGAGCUUGACUCUAGUCUGACUCUGUGAAGAGACAUGAAAGGUGUAGCAUAGGUGGGAGGCUGCAGUAGGGCGCUGUUUGGUGUCUUUGUGGUCGCCAAUGAAAUACCACUACUUUGAUCGUUUCUUUACUUAUUCGGUAAAGCGAAAAAAUUGUGGCCAAUUUGGCGGUCUGUCCGCUGUUGGUCAUUGUUUUAAUGUUGGAUUGAAGCUUUGUUUAUAGCCGUCGCUUUGCGUCGCCGUUUGAUGCAUUGGCUGGGUGCGUUUUUGCGCGCGCGCGGUAAUGUUGUCAGCGGAUGAUCGGCGAUUGGUUUGAAGUGAUUCGCUCCGGAAACAGUGUCAGACGGGGAGUUUGACUGGGGCGGUACAUCUGUUAAACGAUAACGCAGGUGUCCUAAGGUAAGCUCAGCGAGGACAGAAACCUCGCCUAGAGUAAACGGGCACAAGCUUACUUGAUUUUGAUUUCCAGUACGAAUAAAAACCGCGAAAGCGUGGCCUAUCGAUCCUUUUGAUUGUGUAGAUUUCAUGCAAGAGGUGUCAGAAAAGUUACCACAGGGAUAACUGGCUUGUGGCAGCCAAGCGUCCAUAGCGACGUUGCUUUUUGAUCCUUCGAUGUCGGCUCUUCCUAUCAUUGCGAAGCAGAAUUCGCCAAGCGUUGGAUUGUUCACCCACCAAUAGGGAACGUGAGCUGGGUUUAGACCGUCGUGAGACAGGUUAGUUUUACCCUACUGAUGACAAGUCGUUGCGAUAGUAAUCCUGCUCAGUACGAGAGGAACCGCGGGAUCAGACAUUUGGUUCAUGCGCUCGGCUGAAAGGCCGGUGGCGCGAAGCUAGCAUCUGCAAGAUUAUGACUGAACGCCUCUAAGUCAGAAUCUUUUCUAGUCAUUGGCAACGAUAAGUUGCGUCCGGACUCGAUGCGAGGAAACGAUUAGGCUUUGCUGUGUUUUGCGCAGCGAAGCCGUCAUCAUACCACGGUAGCAGGCAGUUGGGAUGGUUACGAAAAAGCAAUUUUUUGAAGUCAGUUGAAUUCAAUCAAACUGCUAACAAUCCCACUGCGAAUGACUACACUCGAAUCU